AAAAGUUCUUCGGUUUGUGUUUUUAUACUUUAAAUGUGUGCUUAUCUUAUGGUAUAUGUCAUGGUGAUUUUAGUAAUGUAUUUGAAGAUUUGAAAGCCAUAUGUGUAUUUAAUAAUUUCGUUUGUACACGAAACAAACUUCUUCGACACUUCCAUCAAAAGUCAAUAACUGAAAAUGGUCAAAAGUCAGAAGCUGAGAAAAUUCUUUAACUUUGUCAACUUCAUGCAUGAACAUCCCUAAAUCUAAACGACUACACGAGCAAAAGACUCGAUGAAUAAUUUAUAUUCGACUAGAAUCAAGGAUUUGACAAACACCUGCAAGACUAUUCUACAUAUAAAGUGUCUGCAUCUGCAUCCUGUUAAAUGCAUAGUCAAGUGUCAAGUGAAGAGAACUGCACAUUCCAGUGAUCUAGAAACAGCUAUAAUGAAGAUAUUCCAAGCCAGACAAGCCAAAAGUCUUUCAAAGAGUGGAAGAUGUGUAGCAACUUCUGGCAACUCUACCUACGUAUAAAACAAUUAUUGACGGGCAGAUGGCCCAGUGGUUAAGGUGGCGACCUAACACUCGGUGUUUUUCCUCAGGACAUGUCAUACAACGGGCCCUCGAUCCUCAUCAUUGUAGGCCUGGCCGAACCCAUAAUGGUCUUGCUUUAAAAAAUGCUCUUUUAGUGCCCGCUGGAUAGUUAAAAAAUUCUUUCUCUCGAGUCUCUCAAAAACAAAAUUAAUUUUAAAACACACUAAUCGCGAAUUAUAUGUCAAUUAAAGUUAGUCUAAGUUCAAUUCUCGUUGCGAUUUUUAAAUAUUUGAACUCUAACAAUAAGUAAAUGAAUUAUCAAACUACAAUUAAACUUCUAGUUAAGUGCCAUCAUCUGCUUGCCUCUAAAAAUGGAAUUAAAUCGAAUGUGGCAUUAAUAAAGCACGUUUAAUGAAAAAAAAUUAGAGUUAAAUUACGUAUUUCGAUGAUAAAUUUCCUUUCGACUUUAUUAUAAACCAUUUGAUCCCA